rnacentral:rRNA from 1 species
UGGGGAAUAUUGCACAAUGGGCGAAAGCCCGAUGCAGCGACGCCGCGUGAGGGAUGACGGCCUUCGGGUUGUAAACCUCUUUCAGUAGGGACGAAGCGCAAGUGACGGUACCUGCAGAAGAAGCACCGGCUAACUACGUGCCAGCAGCCGCGGUAAUACGUAGGGUGCGAGCGUUGUCCGGAAUUACUGGGCGUAAAGAGCUCGUAGGCGGUUUGUCACGUCGUCUGUGAAAUCCUAGGGCUUAACCCUGGACGUGCAGGCGAUACGGGCUGACUUGAGUACUACAGGGGAGACUGGAAUUUCUGGUGUAGCGGUGGAAUGCACAGAUAUCAGGAAGAGCACCGAUGGCGAAGACAGGUCUCUGGGUAGUAACUGACGCUGAGGAGCGAAAGCAUGGGUAGCGAACAGG